rnacentral:rRNA from 1 species
GCGAACGGGUGAGUAACACGUGGGAAAUCUGCCCUGCACUCUGGGACAAGCCUUGGAAACGAGGUCUAAUACCGGAUAUUACCUGUCCUCGCAUGGGGAUGGGUGGAAAGCUCCGGCGGUGCAGGAUGAUCCCGCGGCCUAUCAGCUUGUUGGUGGGGUAAUGGCCUACCAAGGCGACGACGGGUAGCCGGCCUGAGAGGGCGACCGGCCACACUGGGACUGAGACACGGCCCAGACUCCUACGGGAGGCAGCAGUGGGGAAUAUUGCACAAUGGGCGAAAGCCUGAUGCAGCGACGCCGCGUGAGGGAUGAAGGCCUUCGGGUCGUAAACCUCUUUCAGCAGGGAAGAAGCGCAAGUGACGGUACCUGCAGAAGAAGCACCGGCUAACUACGUGCCAGCAGCCGCGGUAAUACGUAGGGUGCGAGCGUUGUCCGGAAUUAUUGGGCGUAAAGAGCUCGUAGGCGGCUUGUCACGUCGGAUGUGAAAGCCCGGGGCUUAACCCCGGGUCUGCAUACGAUACGGGCAGGCUAGAGUGUGGUAGGGGAGAUCGGAAUUCCUGGUGUAGCGGUGAAAUGCGCAGAUAUCAGGAGGAACACCGGUGGCGAAGGCGGAUCUCUGGGCCAUUACUGACGCUGAGGAGCGAAAGCGUGGGGAGCGAACAGGAUUAGAUACCCUGGUAGUCCA